GAUGAACGCUGGCGGCGUGCUUAACACAUGCAAGUCGAGCGAAGCAGUUAAGUUGAUUUCUUCGGAUUGAUUCUUGACUGACUGAGCGGCGGACGGGUGAGUAACGCGUGGGUGACCUACCCAAUACCGGGGGAUAACAGCUGGAAACGGCUGCUAAUACCGCAUAAGCGCACAGAGCUGCAUGGCUCGGUGUGAAAAACUCCGGUGGUAUGGGAUGGGCCCGCGUCUGAUUCGGCAGUUGGCGGGGUAACGGCCCACCAAACCGACGAUCAGUAGCCGGCCUGAGAGGGCGACCGGCCACAUUGGGACUGAGACACGGACCAAACUCCUACGGGAGGCAGCAGUGGGGAAUAUUGCACAAUGGGGGAAACCCUGAUGCAGCGACGCCGCGUGAGCGAAGAAGUAUUUCGGUAUGUAAAGCUCUAUCAGCAGGGAAGAUAAUGACGGUACCUGACUAAGAAGCCCCGGCUAACUACGUGCCAGACGCCGCCGUAA
rnacentral:rRNA from 1 species